rnacentral:tRNA from 1 species
CAGAAAAUAGUUUAGUGAGAAUGGUAGCUUUGGGAGUUGCUGGUAUAGGUGUGGAGUCCUAUUUUUCUGA